rnacentral:lncRNA from 1 species
GGGCACGUGAGCUGUUUUCCUUUCUGGGUUCUGAAAAUGCAAUCUUCUCUGUUUAUUUUUGUUUCAAAACUGGAUCGGAUGAAUUCAUUACAACUAAAAUACUGUUUUGUGCAUGAAGGAAUGUUGUAUUUUCUCAUCUAGGAAGCACAUGUCAGCUUGGAGGGCAUGCGUUAAAGCUAUUCCAAAAAAAAAAAAAAAGAUGCUGCCACCCUCUUGUCCAGUCCUCCUUGUUUGCACAAGCAGUAUUGCAUGACUUACACUGUCAAAAUAUUAGAAAUGUUAUUUCUAAGGCAACAGAAGGUAAUACAGUUUAUCUAAGCCUAUAUAAACAAUCACAAACAAGAAAAUGAGAGGCUGUAGGUACUCCCAUUAAGGAUUUUGCAGGACUGAGCCUAUGCUUACUUUUUGUGUGUGUUACUAAAUAUAAAACUUUGUGUUACAUUAGGUAAGAUUUCUGUCAAUAUAAGCUUUUAUUUGUAUUGAUCUGUGUUUAAAUUGUUGCUGUGCUUUGCAUUAGAGUCGAUGAACAUCUUCCAUGCUCUUCAUUUUCCAUUAAUCUACGCUCCAAUAGUCUCUCCUGCCACGUACCCCAGCCUUUAUCCCAGGGUUUGCCUUUUCAAACAGCCCUAUAUAUGUGGUUCAGUAGUGGCACAUUGAUAUAGGAAGGUUGUGUGCUUUAUUUCUUAAUAAUUUUCUUUUUUUUCAGCCUUCUGAAAUUACUUUUAGUCCUUUACCCCCUCGACUGCCAUUUCGUUAUUAUUGCAUUCACAGUAGAUGGAUACUUUUUGUGCCUGUGUAAACUGGUAGAUUGUCCAAAAUAUUGCUCAAGGUCACUCCUUUCUCCAGCUGUGCAUGGGCUGAUCCAUAACCGUAGCAUCAACAGGCUUCCAAGGAUGGUUUUUGUCUGUGGGUUUCAAGUUGAAAGCAAUGCCCAUGUGCUCAGUCUUACAGCUCUUCCCAGCCACAAUACCUUGUCACCGCGUGAGAAGUGCCACUUGAAGGGAUCAAUGGCAGAGGAAACUUCCCGUCCCUUGGCUAAUGAAAGCUGCUCUCUGUGCGAAGCUGAGUCCUUGCCAUGAGCUUCAGAACACUGCAGACAUCAGUACUUGGUGAAUCCCAGCUGUUGCUUUUCACUGUAAUCGCCCAGAAAGAGGGUACCAAGAGGCUCUGGAAUGAACACAAAGCAUGGCUCAGCCCAUCUGCCCCAAAACCACGUGGCUGAAACAGAACGAGAUAAAGCAGGAAUCCCACCAUCAAAAGGGACUUGUUAGGGCAGAACAGCCGACAAGUGAGUACCGCAGCUGUCAAAUACUUACUUGCCACAUCCAGUGUAUUUCUGCUCUUAAUAUUAAAAGUGUGUCAGAAUUUCCAUUAUAAACCACUUAUUUUGUGGGUUUAUAGCUUUGCCAUAAAAAUACACCUUGGGUUGAAUCUUGGCAUACGGCCAUUUGGCGACUUCUAACACAAUAUUAAUUCAGAACAUCCANNNNNNNNNNNNNNNNNNNNNNNNNNNNNNNNNNNNNNNNNNNNNNNNNNNNNNNNNNNNNNNNNNNNNNNNNNNNNNNNNNNNNNNNNNNNNNNNNNNNGAAUUGGCAAGGUCACUGACUUGACCAGCAAUCUGGCUGCUCUCACCUGGAAAGUUUACCAGAAGACAGUAGAAAGCAGAAAAGUUUUGACCAGCCUGGAACUUACCUGCUCAUAUGAAACUAAAAUACCAGUUUUUGAAAGAAAUGAAAGAAUGGAAUGACAGAAUCUUAGGUCAUAUUUGAAGUCCGUAGGUCACAUUUGAAAUCCAUAGCUUAACAAAAAGAUUGUCAGCCAAUGAAUGGCAAAUUAUGAGAAAAAAGGACUUGUGAUUUGAAAUUUACAGAUCAGCUCAGAAAAUAUAAAAACCUCUUCUUCUGAACUAUGGGUUUCAUAAGGAGCACAUCUGGUCUGUUCAAAUCACAGUCCUGGUGAAUGACUGGAAAGAUGGACAGAAACGGGGGCUCCUAGCAGCCAAAUCCUGUAACUCAAGUACUGUUUAUAAAAUGAAUGAUGAAAAGGGGCGAUCCUAAUCUGAUCCCUGGCCUUACUGUACAAUUAGGAAAAGUGAUAAUCUUGGUUUGUAAAACAAGGAAAAUUGGCAGCUGUGGAAAAAUUAAAGGAAGUAGUUCAGUUAAAUAUUAGACUUAUGUAAAAAUUGGCCAUAAAAGCUGCUCUGAGGCUGGCCAGGACAGAGCCUCAGAAAUGUCUAGGGAAAGUUCUUCAAUCAAUUCAGGAAAUGUGAAGACAUGAAGCUGAAAGUGCUGAGCUCCACAGGAAUGAGGAUAAAGCUUAUAGCUUUUCUCUAGAUUUGGUCAGUUUACUUUUUGAAUGUGUAUUAGGAUCUGUGAAAUGAAUAGAAUAAAGCACCGUUUCUUAAACUGAAGUUAUUGGAC